ACGGUAAAGACAGUUAGACGGGAAGUGGCAGAAUCGUUAGAUCUUUAGUAUAGGAGUAAAAUCUAAAUACUAAAAGUUAUUCCCAAAACGAUUUAUUAUAAGCGUUGAAUCUGUGACAACUUUAAGGGAAACUGGGAUUGGAUACCCCAUUAUUUUUAGUCGUAAAUAUAGUUAAGGAUUUACCAGAGUACUACGAAUAAAAAGUUUAAAACUCAAAGGGCUUGGCGGUGUUUUAGACCUCUCAGGGGAACCUGUCUCGUAAUCGACAAUCCACGUCAAACCUAACCUCUUAUUGUAAUACAGCUUGUAUACCGUCGUCGUCAGGUAACUUCUUAAAAUUGAGUAGUUAGCUUGAGAAUUUAAUUGAUUAGAACGUCAGAUCAAGGUGCAGCUAAUGAAGAGGUGAGGAUGGGUUACAAUUACAUAUUCGUAAAUACGGAACACACUUGAAAUGAAGUGCUUAAAGGAGGACUUGAAAGUAAUUCUAAUUAUAUAAAUAGAAUGAAUGUGGCUCUGAAACGUG
rnacentral:rRNA from 1 species